UACGAAGGGGGCUAGCGUUGUUCGGAAUUACUGGGCGUAAAGCGUAUGCAGGCGGACCGUUAAGUCGGAGGUGAAAUCCCAGGGCUCAACCCUGGAACUGCCUUCGAUACUGGCGGCCUUCGAGUCCGGGAGAGGUGAGUGGAACUCCGAGUGUAGAGGUGAAAUUCGUAGAUAUUCGGAAGAACACCAGUGGCGAAGGCGGCGACCUGGUCCGAUACUGACGCUGAGGCGCGAAAGCGUGGGGAGCAAACAGG
rnacentral:rRNA from 1 species